rnacentral:rRNA from 1 species
ACGUAGGGUGCGAGCGUUGUCCGGAAUUACUGGGCGUAAAGAGCUCGUAGGUGGUUUGUCGCGUUGUUCGUGAAAUCUCACAGCUCAACUGUGGGCGUGCGGGCGAUACGGGCAGACUGGAGUACUGCAGGGGAGACUGGAAUUCCUGGUGUAGCGGUGGAAUGCGCAGAUAUCAGGAGGAACACCGGUGGCGAAGGCGGGUCUCUGGGCAGUAACUGACGCUGAGGAGCGAAAGCGUGGGGAGCGAACAGG